GUAGGUAUAGUUUAAUUAAAACGUUAGAUUGUGAUUCUGAAAAUAGAAGUUAGACCCUUCUUACCCACC
rnacentral:tRNA from 1 species